UACGUAGGGUGCAAGCGUUGUCCGGAAUUAUUGGGCGUAAAGAGCUCGUAGGCGGUCUGUCGCGUCGGCUGUGAAAACUCGGGGCUCAACCCCGAGCCUGCAGUCGAUACGGGCAGACUAGAGUGCGGUAGGGGAGAUUGGAAUUCCUGGUGUAGCGGUGGAAUGCGCAGAUAUCAGGAGGAACACCGAUGGCGAAGGCAGAUCUCUGGGCCGUAACUGACGCUGAGGAGCGAAAGCAUGGGGAGCGAACAGG
rnacentral:rRNA from 1 species